AUCUGUGAGGGACUAAGGGCUGCGGCUGUCUUCCUGAGUAAGCCAAUACCACCCUAGUCUGGUUCCUUGCAACCCUCUGCCAAUCUGUGUGGCAGCUGAAAGUGAGGCUCUGUGACUCACCUUCUGCAGGGGGUUUCCUGGAAAGGUUCUCUUUGUGCUGAGUCCUUUUUGCCACUCCUGUGCCACCUUGCCAUCUGUGCACAAGUGCUGUGUGGCACGCACAGUGCGUUGAACUCACUGUGGUGCUUCUGACUUAGGCCAGCCUCAGCCUGAGAGGCCGACUUAGGAACCACAGGUAUUUGGUGUGAUCAACUUCCGUUCUGUCUUGUGUCUGCAUUUUGCAGACUGUAUCUUACCCCACC
rnacentral:lncRNA from 1 species